rnacentral:rRNA from 1 species
CCUACGGGAGGCAGCAGUGGGGAAUAUUGCGCAAUGGGCGAAAGCCUGACGCAGCGACACCGCGUGGGGGAUGAAUGUCUUAGGAUUGUAAACCCCUUUUAUGAGGGAAGAGAACGGACGGUACCUCAUGAAUAAGGAUCGGCUAACUACGUGCCAGCAGCCGCGGUAAU